GUGCCAGCAGCCGCGGUAAGACGAACCGUGCGAACGUUGUUCGGAAUCACUGGGCUUAAAGGGCGCGUAGGCGGUCGAUCAAGUCCGGGGUGAAAUCCUGCAGCUUAACUGUAGAAGUGCCUUGGAUACUGAUCGGCUCGAGGGAGGUAGGGGUCUGUGGAACUUCUGGUGGAGCGGUGAAAUGCGUUGAUAUCAGAAGGAACGCCGGUGGCGAAAGCGGCAGACUGGACCUCUUCUAACGCUGAGGCGCGAAAGCUAGGGGAGCAAACGGGAUUAGAAACCCCCGUAGUCC
rnacentral:rRNA from 1 species